ACACGUUAUCAGCACCAUUGCUCUCAAUCCAAGAGUUGACAAAGCAGUAAGACGGUAACUUCACUUGGCAGUAAGAAGUUUUUGCAUUUAUUUUAAAUCUUUUUCUUCCCUCUGGCAUAAACACAAAUGUACGUAUACACAUAUGGAAAUCAAAAGAAAACGCAUCCGUAGUUUUCUCGCCGGUGAAGGAAAACAAAGGCAGAUUUGCUUGCUUUCCGAUUUUUCUGACUUGAAGCUCAUAAGCGUGCGAGCAGAUGCCGCCGCACCGCCUCACCUCGAAUGCGAGAGCGGGAAGCCGGGAACCGUGCCGGCCGUCGCUGCGCCACCAGCAAGUGCGCUGGUCAUAGUCACGGACACCACCAUGUCACCGCACAAGCAGCAGGUGCCGCCACGACACCGCGCAGGCGAGCUGUCGCCGCCAGAAGUACCAACGCAGGCACUGCCGCGGGCAAGCAUGCACACCGAGCAGCCAACGUCGCCGCCUCAUGGGCGUGCGCACGGGAGCAGGCACCGCCAUACGAGCAAGUGUGCAGCCUGGCUACCCGUGGGCAAGCACAUAGGUUAAGCCGUCGUGCCCGAACGCACGUAGGCUGGGCUGUCGACGCCGAAGGCGAGCAGGCAAGGGUAGAAACCGCCGCCACUGCCGUAAUCGAGCAAGCGUGGGCCUCGCCGCCACUGCCGCGAACAGGCACGGGCUUCCCGAGCGAGCAGGCCGAGCCGCUGCCGCAGGCAAGCGAGCAGGCUCCGUGCCGUCGCCCCGAGCAAGCACGCUGAACCGCCGCCGCGGGCGAGCCCGUGCGAGCAAGCCGAGCCGCCGUCCGAAAGGCAACCAGGCACAGCGGCCGCCAUCCCAUGCACUG
rnacentral:misc_RNA from 1 species